AUGAUCAAGACAAACUAAGGAGUUGUUUUUGGGGGAGAUGGGGGGAUCUAAUAAUCUAUACACUGUUUACAUAAUAAGCACCUAUUUGCCUUUCAUUUUUUUAUUGGAGUAGAAGUGCAUGAUUGAUUAAUUGUUAACUCCUGAACAGAGUAAGGUACUCAUCAUCAGCUGGAAAAGAUUGGGGAUGGAAUUCGUAUUUAGAAGAGAGUGUCUAAUCUCUUACCAAUUUGCCGUAGGAGUUAAGGCUGUGACAUCCUUUUCUUCAAAUUCUAGCUUUCUCACAAGCUGAUAUCGUCCCUUAAGCUUUACUUGGUCCAAUAAUAAUGGUAAUGAAGGCAUAUAUUAUUAGUUGUAUGCUUUAUAUAUUUUCUAGGAUUCUUUAAAUUUUUUAUAUGUAUAAAUUAAAGUUUUCAAACACUAAGUAGUCCUUUAUUUACACAUAUAUUUUAAUCUGCAUAGUUUUUAUAAUAAUAUACACUCAUUUUUCAACAAUUUUAGGUUGUAAAAAGCAAGUUCUUAUAGCUAACUUGUAUAGGUUUAUCUGGCUACAGGGAGUGCAAUGAAUAAGGGUCGGGCAGGGAGAAGGGAUUGCUAAAGUUUUUCUGAGCAUUAUUUUAUUACUUUCUUUUUUCCACUGCCAUCACUUUAAUUUUGACGUAUACAGUUAUCAUGAGGGAACAAACUAUAUACGUAAGCCCAAAUUCAAAUACAUGUUCUGUGAAAAGCUUCCAUAACAUAAAGAUAUUUGCUCAAGCUUGGAAGUGAUUUUAGCUUUGAUUGAAUGGUGUUACUGUUUAUUACUUUUUGUUAAAACUGAGAUGCAGAACUAGCUAGGAUGUGGAUUGAUGGAAGAUAGUAUUGGUUAUUUAGAUGUAUGAUCUGAUUUAUUUCUUAUCUGCAUGUGGCUCUUGUCAUAUUUUGCUGAAGAGCGUUCUGAUUGAACCAACAAGUAGAAAUACUAGCAUCGGAUUAGCUUUCAUGGCCGUAGCCAAGGGUUACAAGGUCAAAAUUACAAUGCCUGCUUCAAUGAGUCUCGAAAGGAGAAUCACUCUGUUGGCUUUCGGGGCUGAGUUGGUUCUGACAAACCCUGCAAAGGGAAUGAAGAGAUUGUGGCUAAGACUUCCAAUUCCUACAUGCCUCAGCAAUUUGUGUAUAUAAUGUAGAUUUACUCUUAAAUCCUUUUUUU